rnacentral:rRNA from 1 species
GACGAGGGGUCCAAGCGUUGUUCGGAAUCAUUGGGCGUAAAGCGGGUGUAGGUGGCUCUAUAAGUCAGGAGUGAAAGCCCCAAGCUUAACUUGGGAAGUGGCUUUGAUUACUGUAGAGCUUGAAUUGAUGGGAGGAGGAUAAUAAGAAUUCCAGGAUGUAGUGGUGAAAUAACGUAGAUAUCUGGAGGAAUACCGGUGGCGAAGGCGGUUAUCUGGCCCAACAUUCGACACUGAGACCCGAAAGCGUGGGGACCACAAACGAUGA